AAGUCGUAACAAGGUCUCCGUAGGUGAACCUGCGGAGGGAUCAUUAACACUAUUUGAUUCUUAGGGAGCAAUCCUUAGGUUUCAAAUUAAAACCAACCACACCACGUGAACUCGGUUCUGCUUGCAGAGCCAAUCUCUCCCUUUGAAAUUGAAAGACUUGGAUCCGAUGUGUAGUGGGGGUAUUGCACCCCAUCUGUCCAAGUUAGCAUAGCCCUCACGGGGGAUUAUGGACUUUCACUUUCUUAGGCAAUUCUUGAAAUGUAGCCGCUACAGCAUUGCCCUCUCUCUAACUAUUAUUGUCUAACCACAAUUUUCACCCCUUCGUACUCCAAUUGACUGAUUAUGUUGAGCUAAACCGAAAGGUUUAAUUCUUCACAAGAUUUUCUAAUCUAAGCACAACUCUUAGCAACGGAUAUCUUGGUUCUC
rnacentral:misc_RNA from 1 species